UACGGAGGGUGCGAGCGUUGUCCGGAAUCACUGGGCGUAAAGGGCGCGUAGGCGGCCUGAUAAGUAGGGGGUGAAAUCCUGCGGCUUAACCGCAGGGCUGCCUUCUAAACUGUCAGGCUAGAGCACAGUAGAGGCAGGUGGAAUUCCCGGUGUAGCGGUGGAAUGCGUAGAGAUGUGGAGGAACACCGAUGGCGAAGGCAGCCCCCUGGGUCAAGAUUGACGCUCAUGCACGAAAGCGUGGGGAGCAAACAGG
rnacentral:rRNA from 1 species